AUAUCAAUAAGCGGAGGAAAAGAAACCAACAGGGAUUGCCCUAGUAACGGCGAGUGAAGCGGCAACAGCUCAAAUUUGAAAUCUGGCGCAAGCCCGAGUUGUAAUUUGUAGAGGAUGCUUCUGGGCAGCGGCUGGUCUAAGUUCCUUGGAACAGGACGUCAUAGAGGGUGAGAAUCCCGUAUGCGACCAGCUGGCACCCGCCACGUAGCUCCUUCGACGAGUCGAGUUGUUUGGGAUUGCAGCUCUAAAUGGGUCGUAAGUAUGAUCUAAAGCUAAAUAUAGGCGAGAGACCGAUAGCGCACAAGUA
rnacentral:rRNA from 1 species